rnacentral:rRNA from 1 species
AUUGAACGCUGGCGGCAGGCCUAACACAUGCAAGUCGAGCGGAUGAAGGGAGCUUGCUCCUGGAUUCAGCGGCGGACGGGUGAGUAAUGCCUAGGAAUCUGCCUGGUAGUGGGGGACAACGUUUCGAAAGGAACGCUAAUACCGCAUACGUCCUACGGGAGAAAGCAGGGGACCUUCGGGCCUUGCGCUAUCAGAUGAGCCUAGGUCGGAUUAGCUAGUUGGUGAGGUAAUGGCUCACCAAGGCGACGAUCCGUAACUGGUCUGAGAGGAUGAUCAGUCACACUGGAACUGAGACACGGUCCAGACUCCUACGGGAGGCAGCAGUGGGGAAUAUUGGACAAUGGGCGAAAGCCUGAUCCAGCCAUGCCGCGUGUGUGAAGAAGGUCUUCGGAUUGUAAAGCACUUUAAGUUGGGAGGAAGGGUUGUAGAUUAAUACUCUGCAAUUUUGACGUUACCGACAGAAUAAGCACCGGCUAACUCUGUGCCAGCCGCCGCGGUAAGAC